rnacentral:rRNA from 1 species
GACCAGACUCCUACGGGAGGCAGCAGUGAGGAAUAUUGGUCAAUGGGCGGGAGCCUGAACCAGCCAAGUCGCGUGAGGGAUGACGGCCCUAUGGGUUGUAAACCUCUUUUGCCGGGGAGCAAAGUGCCGCACGUGUGCGGUUUGGAGAGUACCCGGAGAAAAAGCAUCGGCUAACUCCGUGCCAGCAGCCGCGGUAAUACGGAGGAUGCGAGCGUUAUCCGGAUUUAUUGGGUUUAAAGGGUGCGCAGGCGGAAGAUCAAGUCAGCGGUAAAAUUGAGAGGCUCAACCUCUUCGAGCCGUUGAAACUGGUCUUCUUGAGUGAGCGAGAAGUAUGCGGAAUGCGUGGUGUAGCGGUGAAAUGCAUAGAUAUCACGCAGAACUCCGAUUGCGAAGGCAGCAUACCGGCGCCCGACUGACGCUGAGGCACGAAAGCGUGGGGAUCGAACAGGAUUAGAUACCCCGGUAC